UUAGCACCAACCCACCUGUAUGAUGACCAGUCUUAACUCUUAACUCACUGCUCGGAAGCCCGUUUCUCUUGAAAACUUGGGGGCGGGGGGUGUUGGGGGUGGGGAGCCCUGGGUUUACCCAGUUCCAGUGAGCGAAAGUAUAUCAAAAGUACAGAGUGCUUCCUUGCUCAGUCGCUUCAGUCAAGUCCGACUCGUUGAGACCCCAUGAACUUACAGCCCACCAGCUUCCUCUGUCCAUGGGAUUCACCAGGCAAGAACACUGGAAUUCGCUCCCUUCUGGAAUGAACAGAGUAGAAGCACAGGAGGUCAUGAGGAUAAAGAAGAGAGCAAACAGGUUCGAAAAGGACCAGCACCAUAGGAGAAGCACAGUUCUGAGAUCUGCGGGUGUCUUGAGGAAGAUCACAGAGCAGAGAGGCUCAUCUCCGCGUGCUUGCCUUCUCUCCAGGACCGCUGCUUCUCACGUUCUCCCUGCUGUCAGUAUUCGCUAAUGUGUCAAGCUAUUGUGUCAUGCAUUUUAUAAUUAAUUUUGACAACAGAAUUACUCUGAUAUUUAACUUUGCUGUAUUAACUGGAAGCAGAGUCUUCCCAGCUUUCUUUUAAGAAAUAUACAAGGAGAAUUCCUAUUUUUUACUAUAGUAUAGUUCCGUUGUGUCAGCAAGUAAUACUUUUUAGAAAAUAAGAUACGUUCUUGGUGUUAUAAUUUGUGGGUUUUAUCUGUGAUUGGAAGGCUUGGCUUUAAACUGUAAGGAGAGCGCCCUAAAAUUAUGUCAGUGCUAUAACAUUUACACAGGGACAUGAUGACUCAAAAUUCAUAAAAGCAGGCUGGCUUUCUUUGGGCUAUAUAUGAGACCUCAACAUACGUGAUGUAUAAUGUGUUAAAGAAAACCUGUUGUACCAAUAUUUUGAUCCAUACUUAAUGUGUCAGCUAUCCUUAGCAUUUAAUUCACUGUAUUUUUGUUGUUUUAGACUGUAAAACAUAUUUCAAAAAUAAACAAUUUGA